UACGUAGGGUGCAAGCGUUGUCCGGAAUUAUUGGGCGUAAAGAGCUUGUAGGCGGUUUGUUGCGUCUGCUGUGAAAUUUCGGGGCUCAACCCCGAACUUGCAGUGGGUACGGGCAGACUAGAGUGUGGUAGGGGAGACUGGAAUUCCUGGUGUAGCGGUGAAAUGCGCAGAUAUCAGGAGGAACACCGAUGGCGAAGGCAGGUCUCUGGGCCACUACUGACGCUGAGGAGCGAAAGCGUGGGGAGCAAACAGG
rnacentral:rRNA from 1 species